UGAUCCACAGAAGCACAUAGUAGCACAGCAUGUGUCCCUAAAGCAGACACCCUCCCUGAGCUUACACUGCAUGCUUCCUUGGACAGCAAACUCACAACCUAAGCAGAUUAGUACGAACACUCUCAUCUUUAGGAGCGCUGAGCUGCCUCACUUUUACACUCAGUCACCUCUGGAACGUGAAGAACUGCUCGCAGGGACUCAGAACUGGCUCCAGCUAUGUAGGUUAUUUACUCUGGAUUAGAAGAUGGAAGUGAGUAAAGCUCUGCUGCAAGAAAAUCAAACCUCACUGGAUGGAAAACGGGAAGAAGGAACGAGAAGAAAGAGCCCUGACAGCCUCUGAUAGAUGUUCAUCAUCACAUCAGUUGGAGCAUUAUUAUGUAGGAUUAUACUCGGUUUAAAAAACAUUAAAGGUCAGAUCAACCCGACCCAUGGCUGGGUACACUUCAUGACCACGUCUACACCCCAGUUGGAGCUGCUAUCAGUGGAUAAAAGCGGUGAUGCAGUCACAUGCUCAGUGAAGAUGUCUGUACAUUCAUAUCAUCAGAUGGUUUGGGCCACGUACAGAUAUAGUCUUUCAGCUUUAUGCAAAUGUGUUCAAGCCCACACUGAAGAACCACCUACUGUCUGUAACCGGGGCAGUGAAUGUGUUGUGUGACAGACUGCUCACCUGUCACUCUCUCCUGAUUGUCAGCUCAACUCAUUUCAUUAAACUCUUUUGAUUUGA